CAGUAGCCGCGGGAAUACCGAGGGUGCGAGCGUUAAUCGGAUUUACUGGGCGUAAAGCGUGCGUAGGCGGCUUCUUAAGUCGGAUGUGAAAUCCCUGAGCUUAACUUAGGAAUUGCAUUCGAUACUGGGAAGCUAGAGUAUGGGAGAGGAUGGUAGAAUUCCAGGUGUAGCGGUGAAAUGCGUAGAGAUCUGGAGGAAUACCGAUGGCGAAGGCAGCCAUCUGGCCUAAUACUGACGCUGAGGUACGAAAGCAUGGGGAGCAAACAGGAUUAGAUACCCCAGUAGUCCCUGUCUCUUAUAA
rnacentral:rRNA from 1 species